UGCACUUUGGGAAUUUGCAGUAGAAUAUAACAGUUCCUACAAAUUAGCACGUUAUCCGUCCCCAAAACAUCACAUACUGAGGCCUGCUACGUGCAAAGCAUUUCGGUGCUAGGAGGGCAUCUUUCCCGUGGAAGUUUCAUCUCCUGGUUUCAGGAAGAAAAGAGGAGGUCAGAGAACUCUUCUUGCACCUGCUGUAUUUCAAGUGCCUUGAAACAGCCCUUCUGCCAAAGUGGACUAUUUUGGGGUGGUAUUUUCUGCUACUCUUCAGCCUCAAUGUGAAUUCUAGGCCAUAAGAACCCUAUGGAAAGGGGGAGGAGGGUUCUCCCACUUCCCUGACAAGAUACUACAAAACUGAAGCUGGACCGGAAGGGGUUGGCUGGGGACCGGUCAUGGAAGACUUUUGAUUCGCUCUAAAAGCGGGAAUUAGAAUUGUGGACACCAACAAUUGCAUCCAUCUAUCGUCAGUUUGGAUUCCUUCUCUGAAUUUAUGAAUGCACUGGAAUGUUUUCCUGAGUCACACAUUGGAGUAAGCUAUCCAACGCAGUUGUGUGGAAACUUUCAAAGUGGGAUCCAAAGAAGACCCCCCAACCGAUGACUCUGAGGCCAGUGAGCAAACAGGUGCUGGUACCCACAGAGCCCACUGAGCUCACUGCUUUCUCACUGACCCUGGAAUUUGAGGGAUUUUCAAUGCCUGUCGGUAGCCACUCACAUGCCAAAUGAUACCCAUCAGGAUCAGACAGCUGGAUGAAAUGAAUAAUAACCGCACACAUGAUGAAGACGAUGACUACAUGGCCCUCUGGCCUGACGACUCAACUCGUGGAAACAGCAAAUAACAUGAUUCUUUGGCCUGAUUACAUCAAUGUGAGGAAGAUUGGUCCUGAGCUAACAUCUGUUGACAACCUUCCACUUUUUGCUUGAGGAAGAUUGCUGCUGGGCUAACAUCUGUGUCAAUCUUCCUCUAUUUUGUAUGUGGGACACUGCCAAAGCAUGGCUUGAUGAGAGGAAUCUAGGAACGACUUCAAGGCAUAAGUAACGAGGCACGGGAAAAGAAAGAAGCCCAACAUUACGGAAAAAAUGGAUUUGGCGCUAUAAGAUCUGAAGUAAAGUCUGCUUAUUCUUUUCCGAUACCGGGAGGGGCUAGUUGUAUCUUCUCCACACGUCUUUCCACAUCUGUAAAGAAGUUCAUAAAGUGUCCCCGAGACUUCCAGUUUUAUGACUCAAGAAUGGCAGCCUCGUGACAAGAUGAAGCACCCAUGUCAUUUAAGAUUUCUGGGCUUGUUAACUUCUCACCAUCUGUUUAGCGUUACUGGACUUAAGUUGGAAAAAAAAAAAAGAAGGAAAAUGACGGAUUUGGCUUCCAGUUUACUUUGUCCUUUGUUCCAUCUCUUCAGGAGUUCAAUUUGAAUGUUUUACAACGUAAACACUGUGUUGAAAAUACAAAGCAAAACUCUGAAUCCAACAAAAUUUCCUUUGUUGUUAAAUAACAUUUGGAGUGGUAACACUGUAAAAAAAUAUUUUGAUACUGCUUCUAGAAUACACCAUCUUAGAGUCUGACAGGACUCCGGAAACUGUCUAGUCAGUGAGUUUCCGGUGCUGCCCUAAAGAGCCUAGCGUCCUGCAGGCCUGUGGGGCCACGGAAUGGGGGACAAGGGAGGACUGAGAGCACGGGAGGCCCCAGGCCCCCUCCCACGGCUUCUUCAACUUGUUUGGGCUUCAACUGGGCUUCUCUGUGAGAUUUCAUUUGCAAAGAGUGCCAUGGCUAUGAGUAAAUAAACAUACAGAUAGAUGGAUAGAGAGUUAAAAACACUGAGUCCACAUUCUUUGUUUUACAGAUGAUGAAAUAGCAGUUCAGAGAAGGUAGUGACUUGCUUAUUGUUGCCAAAGCAAAUUGAAAACCAGGGACUAAAAUUAAACCUUUUUCUCUAAUACUAUUUCUCCAUUAGAGACAGGAUUUUGUUUUUCUCCUGACAAAGGGAACUCAGGCAUUGUGUUAAGUAUUGGAACUAAAAUUAUAAAUAAACAGUGGUCUCAGCCCUCACGGGCCUUUGACUUUAAGGGAUCACCUAGGAGAAAGUUUUUUUUUUUUUUGGUGAGGAAGAUUGGCUCUGAGCUAACAUCUGUGCCAUUCUUCCUCUACUUUGUAUGUGAGGUGCCACCUCAGUAUGGCUUGAUGAGUGUUGUGUAGGUCCAUGCCCUGGAUCCAAACCUGUGAACCCUGGGCCACUGAAAUGGAGCAUGUGAACUUAACCACUAUGCCACUGGGCCAGCCCCAAGAAAGUUUUAAGGGGGAUGGAGCUAUGAGUAAUUUUUAAUGCAGUCAAUAGAACCAGGAAGAUAAGAACAAAAUAACAAUAACCAAGGAGAUUAAAAGAAUAAAAAGGAAAAGGACUCACAUUUUUAGAGCAGGUGAAAUUUUUUUUUUUUUUUUUUCCUGAGGAAGAUUCACCCGGAGCUAACAUCUGCUGCCAAUCUUCCUCUUUUUGUAUGAGAGUCACUGCCAAAACAUGGCCACUGACAGAUUAAUGGUGUAGAUCCAUGUCUGGGAACCAAACCCAGGCCACCAAACUGGAGCAUGCCAAACUUAACCACUAGGCCACCAAGGCUGGCCCUAGAGCAGGUGAAAUUGACCUUUAUUGAUUAUUGCUGUGACUUUACAUUUAUACCAUCAUCAUAAAGUAGAUCAUUGAAGAAGUUUACAUUUCCAUAGACCUUGAAAAAGAAAAUAGACAAUCAUUUGCCAAUGUGACGUAGACUAAUGGGCUUUAAACUUUCCUUUCUUUAUUUUUUUUCCCUAAAGAUUGGCCCUGAGCUAACAUCUGUCGCCAAUCUUUUGUUUUUUUUCCUUCUUCUUCUUCUCCUCAAAGCCCCCCAGUACAUAGUUGUAUAUCUUCUAGUUGCAGGUCCCUCUAGUUGUGCUAUGUGGGACGCUGCCUCAGCACAGCUUGAUGAGCGGUGCUAGGUCCACCCUCAGGAUCUGAACUGGUGAAACCCUGGGCUGCCAAAGCUGAGUGUGUGAAUUUAACCACAGGGCCACAGGGCCAGCACCUUGAAACUUUUCUGAUCAGGCGUUUGGGAAUCUCCAGGACCACACUCGCUUCUGACAACAACUGCAAGUUCAGGUGGUCCCCAAGAUCACUCCUAGGUUUGACAAUUCCCUAGAAGGACUCACAGAACUCACUGAAAGCUGUUAUACUCAGUUAUGGUUCACGACAGUGAAAGAUAUAGAUUAAAAUCAGCCAAGGGAAAGGCGUACAGGGCAGAGUCCAGGAGAGUUCCAUGGAUGAAGCUUCCAAGUGUCCUCUCCCUGUGGAGUUACGAAUGGCAGAAACUUCUGGCAACAACGUGACAUUGCACAUGGAGUAGUGCCAGCUAGGGAAGGCUUGGUGUCCAGAGUUUUUACUGGAGCUUGGUCACAACCUUUAGUGUCCAGCCUCUCUGAGGGUCAAGCUGAUACUACUUGGCCCAAAGCCCCCAGCAUAAAUCACAUUGUUAAACUAUCCAGUGUAUCCCAAGGUCCCCAGAAAAACAAGGACAGUCUUAUCAGGCAGGACAUUCCAG
ensembl:lncRNA